rnacentral:rRNA from 1 species
AUACGUAGGGUGCGAGCGAUGUCCGGAAUUACUGGGCGUAAAGAGCUCGUAGGAGGUUUGUCGCGUCGUCUGUGAAAUUCAGUGGCUUAACUCCGGGCGUGCAGGCGAUACGGGCAUAACUUGAGUACUGUAGGGGAGACUGGAAUUCCUGGUGUAGCGGUGAAAUGCGCAGAUAUCAGGAGGAACGCCGGUGGCGAAGUCUGGUCUCUGGGCAGUAACUGACGCUGAGGAGCGAAAGCAUGGGUAGCGAACAGGAUUAGAUACCCUGGUAGUCCAUGCCGUAAACGGUGGGCGCUAGGUGUAGGGGUCUUCCACGACUUCUGUGCCGUAGCUAACGCAUUAAGCGCCCCGCCUGGGGAGUACGGCCGCAAGGCUAAAACUCAAAUGAAUUGACGGGG